rnacentral:lncRNA from 1 species
UCACUUUUACCUUUAACAUGUUGUAAAAAAUGAAAAAGUAGUAACAAAUAUUAAUCAAGGACUAUAAUAAAUUUUUAUAUGUUCAUAAUAAACAUUUUCUCUUGUUAAACAUGAUCUUAGCAGUUAUAGCAAAGCUUACACAUAAUAUUUCAAUAAUCAUUUAUAAUUUUAAUCAAAUGUAAAUCAUUUCAUCACAUAAAAAUUAAUUUAAAAAGAAUAACAUAAAAAUUAAUUUAAAAAGAAUAAUUUUGCAAUAAAAAACUGCUAGGACACCUACCAUCUAACAACUACUACUUUUUCAUUUUACCAAACAAGUUUACCUUUUAUAGCGGC